rnacentral:misc_RNA from 1 species
GAUGAAGAACGCAGCAAAAUGCGAUAAGUAAUGUGAAUUGCAGAAUUCAGUGAAUCAUCGAAUCUUUGAACGCACAUUGCGCCCGCUGGUAUUCCGGCGGGCAUGCCUGUUCGAGCGUCAUUUCAACCCUCAAGCCCCCGGGUUUGGUGUUGGGGAUCGGCUCUGCCCUUCUGGGCGGUGCCGCCCCCGAAAUACAUUGGCGGUCUCGCUGCAGCCUCCAUUGCGUAGUAGCUAACUCCUCGCAACUGGAACGCGGCGCGGCCAUGCCGUAAAACCCCAACUUCUGAAUGUUGACCUCGGAUCAGGUAGGAAUACCCGCUGAACUUAAGCAUAUCAAUAAGCGGAGGA